AGUGAACGCUGGCGGUAGGCCUAACACAUGCAAGUCGAACGGCAGCACAGUAAGAGCUUGCUCUUACGGGUGGCGAGUGGCGGACGGGUGAGGAAUACAUCGGAAUCUACUUUUUCGUGGGGGAUAACGUAGGGAAACUUACGCUAAUACCGCAUACGACCUACGGGUGAAAGCAGGGGAUCUUCGGACCUUGCGCGAUUGAAUGAGCCGAUGUCGGAUUAGCUAGUUGGCGGGGUAAAGGCCCACCAAGGCGACGAUCCGUAGCUGGUCUGAGAGGAUGAUCAGCGACACUGGAAGUGAGACAGGGUCCAGACUCCUACGGGAGGCAGCAGUGGGGAAUAUGGGGCAAUGGGCGCAAGCCUGAUCCAGCCAUACCGCGUGGGUGAAGAAGGCCUUCGGGUUGUAAAGCCCUUUUGUUGGGAAAGAAAAGCAGCAGGUUAAUACCCCGCUGUUCUGACGGUACCCAAUGAAUAAGCACCGGCUAACUACGUG
rnacentral:rRNA from 1 species